UACGUAGGGGCGAGCGUUAUCCGGAAUUAUUGGGCGUAAAGAGCGCGCAGGUGGUUGAUUAAGUCUGAUGUGAAAGCCCACGGCUUAACCGUGGAGGGUCAUUGGAAACUGGUCGACUUGAGUGCAGAAGAGGGAAGUGGAAUUCCAUGUGUAGCGGUGAAAUGCGUAGAGAUAUGGAGGAACACCAGUGGCGAAGGCGGCUUCCUGGUCUGUAACUGACACUGAGGCGCGAAAGCGUGGGGAGCAAACAGGAUUAGAUACCUCCGUA
rnacentral:rRNA from 1 species